GACGAACGCUGGCGGCGUGCUUAACACAUGCAAGUCGAACGGUGAAAGCGGAGCUUGCUCCGCUGGAUCAGUGGCGAACGGGUGAGUAACACGUGGGCAACCUGCCCCUCACUUCGGGAUAACUCCGGGAAACCGGGGCUAAUACCGGAUAUGACCUCCUUGGGCAUCCUUGGCGGUGGAAAGUUUUUCGGUGAGGGAUGGGCCCGCGGCCUAUCGGCUUGUUGGUGGGGUAGUGGCUCACCAAGGCGACGACGGGUAGCCGGCCUGAGAGGGCGACCGGCCACACUGGGACUGAGACACGGCCCAGACUCCUACGGGAGGCAGCAGUGGGGAAUAUUGCGCAAUGGGCGAAAGCCUGACGCAGCAACGCCGCGUGCGGGAUGACGGCCUUCGGGUUGUAAACCGCUUUCAGCAGGGAAGAAGCCGCAAGGUGACGGUACCUGCAGAAGAAGCACCGGCUAACUACGUGCCAGCCGCCGCGGUAA
rnacentral:rRNA from 1 species